GAUGAAGAACGUAGCGAAAUGCGAUAAUUAAUGUGAAUUGCAGAAUUUAGUGAAUCAUCGAAUCUUUGAACGCACAUUGCGCCCCUUGGUAUUCCGGGGGGCAUGCCUGUUCGAGCGUCAUUUCAACCCUCAAGCUCUGCUUGGUCUUGGGCCGCGCCGGCGACGGCGGGCCUCAAAAACAGUGGCGGCGCCAUCUGGUUCCUCAGCGUAGUAAUUCUUCUCGCUGUUGGGCCCGGGUGGCCGCUGGCCAGCAACCCCAAAUUUUCUAUGGUUGACCUCGGAUCAGGUAGGGAUACCCGCUGAACUUAAGCAUAUCAAUAGCGGAGGA
rnacentral:misc_RNA from 1 species